rnacentral:rRNA from 1 species
AGCGAACGCUGGCGGCAGGCCUAACACAUGCAAGUCGAACGAAGUCUUCGGACUUAGUGGCGGACGGGUGAGUAACACGUGGGAACGUGCCUUUAGGUUCGGAAUAACUCAGGGAAACUUGUGCUAAUACCGAAUGUGCCCUUCGGGGGAAAGAUUUAUCGCCUUUAGAGCGGCCCGCGUCUGAUUAGCUAGUUGGUGAGGUAAAGGCUCACCAAGGCUACGAUCAGUAGCUGGUCUGAGAGGAUGACCAGCCACAUUGGGGCUGAGACACGGCCCAAACUCCUACGGGAGGCAGCAGUGGGGAAUCUUGCGCAAUGGGCGAAAGCCUGACGCAGCCAUGCCGCUUGGAUGAUGAAGGUCUUAGGGUUGUAAAAUCCUUUCACCGGUGAAGAUAAUGACUGUAGCCGGAGAAGAAGCCCCGGCUAACUUCGUGCCAGCCGCCGCCGUAAGAC